UCGGCCACCACAUUCGCCUUCCCUAACACCAUUAAAGAUGUUGGCAAUAGAGCCUCCCCUUGGAGAGAAAUCCCUGCUUUGACGCCUUCCCUAACACCCAGGGACUUCCGACUGAGAGCGUCGGCCACCACAUUCGCCUUCCCUAACACCAUUAAAGAUGUUGGCAAUAGAGCCUCCUCCUUGGAGAGAAAUCCCUGCUUUGACGCCGACCACUUCUUGAGCGUCUCUUAUGCCACCAGCAGCUCAGACAGAGCAGGUUUCGGAGCAGAGAUUGAAAGAGCUCCAAAGAGGAGGAGGAUGAUCCCCAGGUGGAUGAUGUUGAGAUUGAGUUGGAGGAAAUGGAGGGUGUUGCUUCUGGCCAGCCACAGGCCCCCGGGAUAGAUGAUCCAGGUGCCCAGCCACAGGAUCUCGUGCUACCACAGGAUCUCGUGCUACCACAGAUUCCUUGGACGACCAAGGGUAUUCCUGUAUAUUUAACUUUCUUUGGGGAUAUUAUGGUAAUGGUAUAACCUUAUUGACUUCCAGGUGUGUUAGGCUUAUGCUUUUCCUUCUGGUUCCUCUUUGCAAUCAGAGAUCCUUCUGCUUUUUCAUUCCAUCCUUUGCUGAGUUUAUUUGUUCUUCUUCUUCCACUUAGCUUUUUGCUUACUAAUUUCACUUCUGCCAUUUGGGUUUUAUUGCAGAUUUGUAGUAUGGGAACCAAAUUCUGACUUGGAACAAAGAUUCCCUAAAUCAUUGCAUGCAGGUAAUAUCUUUCACAUUAUAAUUUCAUCUAGGAAUUUGAGAUUUUAGGCUAGGGUUUGAAAUUGAGGGUUUUAAUCUUCAAUUAAACUUCAUCUCUUACUUUCAUUACAUAGAUUGUUCAAACAAUUGAAGUUUCCGAAUGCGCAUUCGAUUGCUUUUCGACUUCAAGGAAAGAAACGGGAAUGGCCUCUAAUGGAGAAGCCAUUUGAUAGUGAUUUCUAGGUGACUCGUAUUUGAAGAGUAAGAGAUGAAGUUUUCACUUUUCUUGCUAAACCCGUCUCUGAAUUUUUCUCUGCUGUUUUGGCUGCUUUUUUUGGUGUAAAGUUCCUAAUGUUCUUUUGUGGAUCUUCUGUUUUGGUCAUUGUGGCCUACUUUACUUAUUUUCCUUAUAUUAGUGGGGUUUUUAUAUAUCUAUUCGUGCCUUAUCGCAUGUUUCUUUGACAUUGAUAAUCUUCACAAUUUUCUUUUCACGCCAUCUGGUCAAAUGAUUUAGGUAUAACAAAGCAUCAUGAAAUCCUUCCAGCUCGUCGUAGUAGUUAUAGGAGAAUUGAAGAUUUAGCAUGUAUUAAGCAAGAAACUGGAGAGUUCAUGUUUAUGCAAGAACUCGAAGGCAAGGAAGUACAUUUUGGAUGUACUCAACAACACUACCAGAAAAUGCCAAGUAUGUACAUUAUCAAUUUUAGGUUCCUUUAUUCUAAGCCCAUGUCCAGUUCUUUAUCUGGUGCAAAAGCAAAACAUACCUGUUGAAACUUGAAAGCUGUUGUUGUAGUGUUGAAGAAGAAAAGAAGAACCCUAGUUUGCUUGAAGAAAUUGCUGGUUUUACCGUUUUAGUGAGGAAGAAAUCGCUAGUUUAGAACCCUAGUUUGCUGUUGAAGAAGUCGAAGAAACUACUGGGUCUGGAACAGAAGUCAGCGAUUUGGUCUUUUAAUUGAAAAAAGACUUUAGGUCUUUUAAUUCAAAAAGUGACCGCUUCGAUCCGCUUCACCGCUUCUCGCUUUUUAGAGAGAAGCGGGCGCUUUUCUUUACCUGAGCCGCUUUUAAUUGGAGUAGCGCCCAACCUCCCGCUCCACUUCGCUUCUCGCUUAAAGCGAGGAAGCGGGCGCUUUUCUGAACCCUGUUUGAGAUUGAUAAAAAGGAUAAUUCAUUCUUUUGAGCAUUAGUGAUUGGUUUAGUGAUUAAGAGAACAAAAUCUACGAGAAGAAGAAGAUGAUACUUGCAGAACAGAGUGCUCUUUUGUGAAGGAGGCGAACACACUGCUUUAGUUGAGUCCAUUAUCAUUUGCAGUGUGGUAGCAGACACAAGAAAGGAAAAACCCAAUUUAACUCUUUGUCAAGGACUGGGUUCAUAAGCAUAUAAUUACAUGGUAAUUACUACAAUUGAGCCUAAUCUUUCAAUCCUAAAAAUGCUUCACAAAGUUUUGUCUUGCUUUAUAUUUACUACCAAAAGGAUUCUGAUAAACUUUUAAACUUCUCAUGUUUAUAUGGCAUCUAUUGCCCAGAACAUGAGCAGAAACAUAAACAAUUGUCUGACACCAUUCGUAUCCUUAUAACCUCACGUAUCAAACACGUGUAAUAUACUUGUCACGACCACUUCAAGGGUUCAUUUGGAGUAUUCCAAAAUGGUAUAAUUUGGGGCUUGAAUCUUCCGGGAACUCCAGCAAGUGACUACAUGGCCGGAUUUUGUCGCCUUCUUCUUCUUAUUAUUAUUUUUCAGUUACACGGUAUUCUCUUCUUUCACUUACUCACCCUCCGUACUUUCUUUUCAUACUUCAACAGUCUUCUGGUGCUUUUGACCUUGAUUUUUGAAAUUUUUAAAAUUUUAUUUUUGCCCUUUUUUAAGUGGAUCUUUGUGUUCUGUUUAGUUUGUUUUGUUCUGUCUGAGUGAGCAUGUAUCAUUCGAUUCUAUUUUUUAGAGUUCAGAUUUUUCUUUCAAAUUUUGAUUGUGUAACGUACGAUAUGGCUUCUUUUGAGAAAUGGGUUUUACCAAACGCAUGAAAAGAGAUGUUAAAGUAACCAAUCUGGUGAAAAGUUAAGACUAAUUACAUACUUUGGGGUGCAGGCGGAGAACUUGGAGAGUAUCGAUUUAGAUUCUUUAUUCUAAAUCAACAAUGACGAGUCUAAAUCACAUAGUGGAUUAUCGAUUUACAAUCUUCAUUUUGUUGAUUUCCAGAAGGUCAAUACGCAUCAAGUAAGACCUUUUCGUCCUACUUCCGGUUGGAAUAUGAUGUAGUACCCUUAUAUGAUUGAAGAGUUGGCCACUUUAGUGCAAAGCAGGAGUGAAAAUGUUGGAUGUUGCUCAGCCUAGAGUUACAAGAUGUAGUGAACAUUUUCUUGUGUUUAUUUUUUGGCGCAGAACAACUUGCCAUGGUCCAUCAUGCUGUAAUUCACGGUCUUCUGAUAAAUAUGUGGCUAGGAAUCAAUAAUGAUGAGACUGUACAUACAAUUUACCUUAUUAAAAAUAAAUAAAUGAUGAGACUGUACAUUACUA